rnacentral:rRNA from 1 species
GGAAGCAGCUUGCUGCUUCGCUGACGAGUGGCGGACGGGUGAGUAAUGUCUGGGAAACUGCCUGAUGGAGGGGGAUAACUACUGGAAACGGUAGCUAAUACCGCAUAACGUCGCAAGACCAAAGAGGGGGACCUUCGGGCCUCUUGCCAUCGGAUGUGCCCAGAUGGGAUUAGCUAGUAGGUGGGGUAACGGCUCACCUAGGCGACGAUCCCUAGCUGGUCUGAGAGGAUGACCAGCCACACUGGAACUGAGACACGGUCCAGACUCCUACGGGAGGCAGCAGUGGGGAAUAUUGCACAAUGGGCGCAAGCCUGAUGCAGCCAUGCCGCGUGUAUGAAGAAGGCCUUCGGGUUGUAAAGUACUUUCAGCGGGGAGGAAGGCGAUAAGGUUAAUAACCUUGUCGAUUGACGUUACCCGCAGAAGAAGCACCGGCUAACUCCGUGCCAGCAGCCGCGGUAAUACGGAGGGUGCAAGCGUUAAUCGGAAUUACUGGGCGUAAAGCGCACGCAGGCGGUCUGUCAAGUCGGAUGUGAAAUCCCCGGGCUCAACCUGGGAACUGCAUUCGAAACUGGCAGGCUAGAGUCUUGUAGAGGGGGGUAGAAUUCCAGGUGUAGCGGUGAAAUGCGUAGAGAUCUGGAGGAAUACCGGUGGCGAAGGCGGCCCCCUGGACAAA